AGCCUCAGUAGAAAUGCACCGA
rnacentral:siRNA from 1 species